rnacentral:rRNA from 1 species
AACGUAGGAUCCGAGCGUUGUCCGGAAUCACUGGGUGUAAAGGGUGCGUAGGCGGGCUUGCGCGUCAAGGGUUAAAGACCUCGGCUCAACCGAGGGAAUGCCCUUGAUACGGCAGGCCUUGAGUGCGGGAGAGGAUGGUGGAAUUCCUGGGGUAACGGUGAAAUGCGUAGAGUUCAGGGGGAACCCCGAAGGCGAAGGCAGCCAUCUGGACCGCCACUGACGCUGAGGCACGAAAGCGUGGGGAGCAAACAGG